rnacentral:rRNA from 1 species
UACGUAGGUGGCAAGCGUUGUCCGGAUUUACUGGGCGUAAAGAGCGCGCAGGCGGUCGUUCAAGUCGCGUGUGAAAGCCCCCGGCUCAACUGGGGAGGGUCACGCGAUACUGAUCGACUCGAAGGCAGGAGAGGGUAGUGGAAUUCCCGGUGUAGCGGUGAAAUGCGCAGAUAUCGGGAGGAACACCAACGGCGAAGGCAGCACUCUGGGCUGGUACGUGACGCUGAGGAGCGAAAGCGUGGGUAGCAAACGAG